UACCAGCACCUCGAGUGGUCAGGAGGUUUAUUGGGCCUAAAGCAUCCGUAGCCGGCUGUUCAAGUUUCCGGUUAAAUCCACACGCUUAACGUAUGGGCUGCCGGAAAUACUGUUCAGCUAGGGAGUGGGAGAGGUGGACGGUACUCGGUAGGAAGGGGUAAAAUCCUUUGAUCUAUUGAUGACCACCUGUGGCGAAGGCGGUCCACCAGAACACGUUCGACGGUGAGGGAUGAAAGCUGGGGGAGCAAACCGGAUUAGAUACCCGGGUAGUCCCAGCUGUAAACGAUGCAGACUCGGUGAUGCAUUGGCUUGUGGCCAGUGCAGUGCCGCAGGGAAGCCGUUAAGUUUGCCGCCUGGGAAGUACGUACGCAGGUAUGAAACUUAAAGGAAUUGGCGGGGGAGCACCACAAGGGGUGAAGCCUGCGGUUCAAUUGGAGUCAACGCCAGAAAUCUUACCCGGGGAGACAGCAGAAUGAAGGUCAAGCUGAAGACUUUACCAGACAAGCUGAGAGGUGGUGCAUGGCCGUCGCCAGCUCGUGCCGUGAGAUGUCCUGUUAAGUCAGGUAACGAGCGAGACCCUUGCCUCUAGUUGCCACCAUUACUCUCUGGAGUAGUGGGGCGAAUUAGCGGGACCGCCGCAGUUAAUGCGGAGGAAGGAGAGGGCCACGGCAGGUCAGUAUGCCCCGAAACCCUGGGGCUACACGCGGGCUGCAAUGGUAACGACAAUGUGUUUCGAACCCUAAAGGGGGAGGCAAUCAUCAAACGUUACCUCAGUCAUGACUGAGGGCUGCAACUCGCCCUCACGAAUAUGGAAUCCCUAGUAACUGCGCGUCACUACCGCGCGGUGAAUACGUCCCUGCUCCU
rnacentral:rRNA from 1 species